rnacentral:lncRNA from 1 species
CUACCAGCACUAAUUACACCAUACUAGAAAGUCCCAAUAACACAACUCAAUAUUUAUCUACUAGUCUUAUUAUCGUACACAUCUCACAUUUAACACAACUCAAUAUUUUUCAGUCAACAACAGUAGAGAAGUUCCUAUAAAGUCAUCUGAUAUCCCUUAUGGAACAUCAUUGAUAGUAUUAUGCCACAAAAGUAGUAAUUAUAGUUAAUAAUAAUAAUAAUAAAGUGACAACUUAAAUCUAGGAGUAAUAAUGGGAAGCACAAAAGAGAAAUGAAAGUCCAACAUUGUCCAUUUAAAAGUUCAACAUUGGACACAUUGCUACAUUAAAGAGUGCAAUAUUCAAAUAAAGAAACAAAAUG